GAAGCAGAGGGGGCUUAGUGGUGGGGUGACUGCGUACCUUUUGUAUAAUGGGUCAGCGACUUAUAUUCUGUAGCAAGGUUAACCGCAUAGGGGAGCCGGAGGGAAACCGAGUCUUAAUUGGGCGUUAAGUUGCAGGGUAUAGACCCGAAACCCGGUGAUCUAGCCAUGGGCAGGUUGAAGGUUGGGUAACACUAACUGGAGGACCGAACCGACUAAUGUUGAAAAAUUAGCGGAUGACCUGUGGCUGGGGGUGAAAGGCCAAUCAAACCGGGAGAUAGCUGGUUCUCCCCGAAAGCUAUUUAGGUAGCGCCUCGUGAAUUCAUCUCCGGGGGUAGAGCACUGUUUCGGCCAGGGGGCCAUCCCGGCUUACCAAUCCGAUGCAAACUGCGAAUACCGGAGAAUGUUAUCACGGGAGACACACGGCGGGUGCUAACGUCCGUCGUGAAGAGGGAAACAACCCAGACCGCCAGCUAAGGUCCCAAAGUCAUGGUUAAGUGGGAAACGAUGUGGGAAGGCCCAGACAGCCAGGAUGUUGGCUUAGAAGCAGCCAUCAUUUAAAGAAAGCGUAAUAGCUCACUGGUCGAGUCGGCCUGCGCGGAAGAUGUAACGGGGCUAAACCAU
rnacentral:rRNA from 1 species